UGCUUACACAUGCAAGUCGAACGAUGAUGCCCAGCUUGCUGGGCGGAUUAGUGGCGAACGGGUGAGUAAUACGUGAGUAACCUGCCCUUGACUCUGGGAUAAGCCUGGGAAACUGGGUCUAAUACUGGAUACUACCUCGCACCGCAUGGUGGGUGGUGGAAAGGGUUUUACUGGUUUUGGAUGGGCUCACGGCCUAUCAGCUUGUUGGUGGGGUAAUGGCUCACCAAGGCGACGACGGGUAGCCGGCCUGAGAGGGUGACCGGCCACACUGGGACUGAGACACGGCCCAGACUCCUACGGGAGGCAGCAGUGGGGAAUAUUGCACAAUGGGCGGAAGCCUGAUGCAGCGACGCCGCGUGAGGGAUGACGGCCUUCGGGUUGUAAACCUCUUUCAGUAGGGAAGAAGCGAGAGUGACGGUACCUGCAGAAGAAGCGCCGGCUAACUACGUGCCAGCAGCCGCGGUAAUACGUAGGGCGCAAGCGUUGUCCGGAAUUAUUGGGCGUA
rnacentral:rRNA from 1 species